UAUUUAUACAUCAAUUUCUGACAUACACUUAAUGUGUUAGUAUACACAAAAUGAUGCUUUCUUUUGAAACUGUAUUUAUGAAAUGUACAUUUUAAUUUAAAUACUCAGUAUACACUGCACUUAAUCUGCAUGUUGCAUUUAUUAAAUACAUUAAAAUCUGCAAUGUAACAAAACAUUUUCUGCAUACGAAAUUCAAAACACCAUUUUAAAUGAACAAAAGAUGGCUCACUUUUUUUUUUUUUUUUACAACUAGUGUAUUGUACACUAGCUCAGCUCCACCAAACUACCUGUUCGUUCUCUUUUAUUUGACAUUGUUCACAGACUAGUACAUAUUACAAUAAGAGUGCUGGAUAAAAACAUGAGGUACGAAAGUGGUUCAAAGAUUAUAGGUCAUGCAGAUCAUGCUAGACAGUAAAGAAAAUUGUGACUGAGAAAACACUAAAAAUACAUAAAGAAUGUGCAUUAUUAAAAAAAAAAAAAGACAAAAAAAAAAAACCAACAAAAAAAAACCCAAACUCCAUUACACAGCUUUGCUUCUUUGGUUACAAAGUAGGUUGAACAAUUUCACAGCUUUUUAUUCCCACCCGAAAAAAAAGUCAUACGAAAUGUUGAAGAGCAGAGGAAUCGUGGCAAUUUCUCUUAGAAAGUAGAAACAAAUGAACAAAGUUUUCUUCAUCAAAAUAGCCCAAUUAUUUAUUAUAUCACAAUAACUGGUGACUACCUGUACAGUUGCACUAUGUUCUUCAUACUUACACUAUACAAAAUUUACAUUCAAGCUGGGUCUUUACUACUGAAAAUAAAUACCAUAAGUAAAUUGCCAUUAGUGUUAGAAAUAUGCCAGGAUUCUUUUGUUCAAUUAUUGCCUAAACGUUUUAUCUAUUAAAUGCAAUCCUGUCUUUCACUUCCUUUACUGAUACUUAUAAUUAUUCAAAAAAAUUAAAAAAGUUCUGUGACAUUGUUCAUGUACAUUAUGAAAAUAGCAGCCCUGUAAUAAAUAAAACACAAAUAAAUGAAAACUUAUGUAGGCAAAUGUUACUGAAUCAGAAAGAAAAGUGGCUCUUUAGAUGAACUGUUAUUUAUAAUGUGAUAGGAAGGCUCAGGGUAAAUCCAUGGGUAAUAGGAAACAUGGGAGAGCCACCAAAACUCUUAAAGACCCCACUCAUGCGCACCAGGUAAAAUGCAGACUUUGCUCGCUUUAAUAAACCCCAUCUAUUAUUCUCCUUGUGUACUGAUGACAUAGAACUGGACAUCAACAGCGCUGCAUGACAUCUCAGAGAGAGGAAAAGCUUUUGUAGAGUGAUUGUCUAAUACUGAAAAGGCCAAACACACAACCAAAGCAUGGCUACUUGCUUUCGUAUAAAGUGGAAAGAACACCAGUGGCACACAAGGAUAGAUUGCUUUCAGUUUUUUUCUUAAUGAGGCUUAAGAAAGCUUUAUGCUGAGGAGACAUUCGGCUGCUGUGGAGGUUGCGUUGGCUGCGGAGGCUGUGCUAUCACUGCUUGCUGUUGAGAAGUGCUACCAGGAUUGGCCUGUUGGGUUGGGAGUUGGGAUAAUUGAUCAUUGCUUGAAAGAGAUUUUAACAGUGCAUUUUCUCGUUCAAGUAAAGAGUUUCUUUCAACUAAUUCUUUUAUUUGUUCCUUUAAAACUUCCACUUCUUCUCUUACUGCAUACAUCAAAUGGCUUUUCACCAGAUCCUGUGAAAAACAAAAUUAGGAAUGUCAAAAGAGUGAAAAGAUAAAGGUGGUGCUAUCUGGUUCUGGCCUACUUGGUGCUAAGUUUUU
rnacentral:lncRNA from 1 species